AUUGAACGCUGGCGGCAUGCCUUACACAUGCAAGUCGAACGGCAGCACGGGUGCUUGCACCUGGUGGCGAGUGGCGAACGGGUGAGUAAUAUAUCGGAACGUACCUUAUUGUGGGGGAUAACGCAGCGAAAGCUGUGCUAAUACCGCAUAAUCCCUAAGGGGGAAAGCGGGGGACCGUAAGGCCUCGCGCAAUUAGGGCGGCCGAUACCUGAUUAGCUAGUUGGUGAGGUAAAGGCUCACCAAGGCAACGAUCAGUAGCUGGUCUGAGAGGACGAGCAGCCCCACUGGGACUGAGACACGGCCCAUACGCCUACGUGAGGCAGCAGUGGGGAAGUGUGGACAAUGGGGGCAACCCUGAUCCAGCAAUGCCGCGUGAGUGAAGAAGGCCUUCGGGUUGUAAAGCUCUUUUGUCAGGGAAGAAACAGCAGCUCUAACACAGUAUGCGAAUGACGGUACCUGAAGAAUAAGCACCGGCUAACUACGUGCCAGCCGCCGCCGUAA
rnacentral:rRNA from 1 species